CCUACGGGAGGCAGCAGUGGGGAAUAUUGGGCAAUGGAGGAAACUCUGACCCAGCGACGCCGCGUGCGGGAUGAAGGCCUUCGGGUUGUAAACCGCUUUCAGUAGGGAAGAAGCGAAAGUGACGGUACCUACAAAAGAAGCACCGGCUAACUAUGUGCCAGCAGCCGCGGUAAUACAUAGGGUGCAAGCGUUGUCCGGAAUUAUUGGGCGUAAAGAGCUCGUAGGUCGUUUGUUACGUCGGAUGUGAAAACCUGAGGCUCAACCUCAGGCCUGCAUUCGAUACGGGCAAACUAGAGUUUGGUAGGGGAGACUGGAAUUCCUGGUGUAGCGGUGGAAUGCGCAGAUAUCAGGAGGAACACCAAUGGCGAAGGCAGGUCUCUGGGCCAAUACUGACACUGAGGAGCGAAAGUCUGGGGAGCGAACAGGAUUAGAUACCCUGGUAGUCCAGACCGUAAACGGUGGGCACUAGUUGUGGGAACCUUCCACGGUUUCUGCGACGCAGCUAACGCAUUAAGUGCCCCGCCUGGGGAGUACGAUCGCAAGAUUAAAACUCAAAUGAAUUGACGGCNGAGACGUGCCGACGACGACGACGAGGGAGUAGG
rnacentral:rRNA from 1 species